UACGUAGGGGGGCUAGCGUUGUCCGGAAUCAUUGGGCGUAAAGAGCGCGUAGGCGGCCAGAUAAGUCCGGUGUGAAAGUCAAAGGCUCAACCUUUGAAUGCCGCUGGAAACUGUCUGGCUAGAGUCCGGGAGGGGCGAGUGGAAUUCCUGGUGUAGCGGUGAAAUGCGCAGAUAUCAGGAGGAACACCAAUGGCGAAGGCAGCUCGCUGGAACGGUACUGACGCUGAGGAGCGAAAGCGUGGGGAGCGAACAGG
rnacentral:rRNA from 1 species